rnacentral:rRNA from 1 species
GUAGGUGGCAAGCGUUGUCCGGAAUUAUUGGGCGUAAAGCGCGCGCAGGCGGUUCUUUAAGUCUGAUGUGAAAGCCCACGGCUCAACCGUGGAGGGUCAUUGGAAACUGGAGAACCUGAGUACAGAAGAGGAAAGCGGAAUUCCACGUGUAGCGGUGAAAUGCGUAGAGAUGUGGAGGAACACCAGUGGCGAAGGCGGCUUUCUGGUCUGUAACUGACGCUGAGGCGCGAAAGCGUGGGGAGCAAACAGGAUUAGAUACCCUGGUAGUCCACGCCGUAAACGAUGAGUGCUAAGUGUUAGGGGGUUUUCCGCCCCCCUUAGUGCUGCAGCUAACGCAUUAAGCACUCCGCCUGGGAGUACGGCCGCAAGGCUG